UCCUGACGGUAGUCGUAUGCUCGUCUCCGAGACUAAGCCAUGCAAGUCCAAGUACACGUCCUUGAACGACGGAAACUGCGAACGGCUCAUUAAAUCAGUUGCGAUCUACUCGGCGUUCCGCGCCGCCGGAUAACCGUAGUAAUUCUAGGGCUAAUACGUGCGAAGCGCCCGAAGCCGCGAGGCGACGGGCGUUCUCGCCGGAUGUAGGAACCGACCCGGGGACCGCCGGGGCAACCCGGCGCCCCCGAGACGGGGCGGAACCACGGUGAAUGACGGAUCGUCGGCCCCGCGCCGGCGACUCGCCGAAUGAGUUUCUGACCUAUCAACUCGAGACGGCGGGGUAGAGGCCCGCCGCGGUAACGACGGGUAACGGAGAAUUAGGGUUCGAUUCCGGAGAAGGAGCCUGAGAAACGGCUACUACAUCUAAGGAAGGCAGCAGGCGCGUAAAUUACCCAAUCCUAAAUCAGGGAGGUAGUGACAAGAUAUAACAACGCGAUUAAAUGUCGCGAUUG
rnacentral:rRNA from 1 species